GAUUCAAUGGUUUAUGCUAAGCUAAGCUAAAAGAGUUAAUCAGCUGAAUAGAUUCAAAAAUGGCAAAAAUCUACAGUUUAAACCUUGAAAAUGAGCCUAUUUCUAAAAGAAAGUGGAGUGUUACUUUAAAGUGUCUGGUAUGGAGGAGAAGGUCUCAGAAUUGUGUUAUAAAGAUUUAUAUGCAGUUGUUGAUGCGGCAGUAAAAAGUGGCCGACCAAAAUGAUCUUUUUCAAUUGCAAUAUUGUUAAGUAAAAUAAAUAACAUAAUUAAGUUAAACUUGCAAAAAUUUAAACAGUUGAGUUUUACCUUUUUUUAAUCCAUUCAGCGAUCUCCGGGUAUGCGGGAGCACUUUUAGCUUACCUUAGCAUAAAUUAUGGAAUCGGAUUAGACCAUUAGCAUCUUGCUCAAUUUCAAUAAAGAGUUUUGAUGAAUUUCCUGUUUAAAGUUUGACUGCUUUGUAGUUUUAUUGUGUAAGACUGACAGAAAAUAAUAUUAUGCAGCACAUAAACUACUUUGAUUAUUACGCUGGAAUGCUCUUAGCCAUAUCAGUACACAAUGUAACUACAGAAGUGUCAAGCUAUAAAUAGGAAAAUUAUUGAAUUCUUUUUUUUUUUUUGAGUGAUGCUAAUGGUCCAAUCCGAUUCAAUGGUUUAAGCUAAGCUAAGCUAAAAGUUAGAAAUAGCUGAAUGGAUUCAAAAUGGUAGAAAUCUACUGUUUAUAUCCAGGUUUAAAUCUCUAAAUUAAGCGUAUUCCCUUAAAAAGUGGAGUGUUCCUUUAAAAAAAAAAGAGUACAAAACCUCAGAUUUGUGUUUAUGUGAAGAUGAUGCAGUUCAUUUGUUUGUUUAUGGGGCAGUAAAAGGUGGCUGACCAAAAGCAAAGGGCGGCAAAUCAGUUAGAUUGUUUUUAAUGAAUAAAUCAAUUGAAGCACUCGUAAAACCUUGUCUAAAGGAAGAGAAUGUGUUACUGUGUUGAUGUAUAUUUGUUGUGCAUCUCUGGGAGUGUUUCUGUUGCAUUGUGUCACCUUGUACAUUUACUGAGUAUUAAUAAAAAGUCAUUGUAUUGAAAAUGAACUGAUUGUAAAAGUUUAGGGUUUGUUUGUAUGUAUGUGUGUGUGUAUAUAUAUACAUAUAUAUAGGGGGUCUGUGGGCAACACCAAAAUCUCUAGUCUAUAUGGAAUGGGUGUGUGUGAAUCUCACUGCUGCCAUGUGCAUCUUAUUGUGGUCUGAUGUCAUCAAUGGCUGGUGCUUCGUGACUAAAUUAAAGUGUCUUUGUGUG
rnacentral:lncRNA from 1 species